GGGUGAGUAAUGCGAAGGUAACCAACCCUGGAGUUGGGCAUAGCCGCGGGAAACUGCGGGUAAUUCCCAGCGAUGUUACGAGGUGGCAUCAUCUUGUAACCAAAGGUGUGAUUCCGCUCUAGGACGGGCCUUCGUGGUAUUAGCUAGUUGGUGGGGUAACGGCCUACCAAGGCAACGAUGCCUACCGGGUGUGAGAGCAUGACCCGGCACACUGGAACUGAGACACUGUCCAGACACCUACGGGUGGCUGCAGUCGAGAAUCUUCGGCAAUGGGCGAAAGCCUGACCGAGCGACGCCGCGUGAGGGAUUGAAGGCCUUCGGGUUGUAAACCUCUUUCGUAGAGGAGGAAGGGACUGUGAAGAGCAGUUCUUGACCUAUUCUAGGAAGAAGCUUGGGCUAAGUUCGUGCCAGCAGCCGCGGUAAGACGAACCAAGCGAACGUUAUUCGGAAUUACUGGGCUUAAAGCGCGUGUAGGCGGACUGCCACGUCGGUUGUUGAAAUCCCCCGGCUUAACCGGGGAACAGGCACCGAUACGAGUAGUCUUGAGGUGGGUAGGGGAGACUGGAACUUCCGGUGGAGCGGUGAAAUGCGUUGAGAUCGGAAGGAACGCCCGCGGCGAAAGCGAGUCUCUGGCCCCAUACUGACGCUGAGACGCGAAAGCCAGGGGAGCAAACGGGAUUAGAUACCCCGGUAGUCCUGGCUGUAAACAUUGGGCACUGGGUAGUGGAACCGCCGAUGGUUUCACUGCCGCAGGGAAACCGUGAAGUGCCCCGCCUGGGGAGUAUGGUCGCAAGGCCGAAACUCAAAGGAAUUGACGGGGGCUCACACAAGCAGUGGAGUAUGUGGCUUAUUCGAGGCUACGCGAAGAACCUUACCUAGGCUUGACAUGCAAGGAUAGUCGGCGGAAACGUCGAUGACGCCGCAAGUGGAACUGCACAGGUGCUGCAUGGCUGUCGUCAGCUCGUGCCGUGAAGUGUGGGUUAAGUCCCGUAACGAGCGAAACCCCUGUGUCCAGUUGCCAGCGCGUAAAGGCCGGGACUCUGGACAGACUCAGUCAUCAUGCCCUUUUGCUAGGCUGCACACGUAACUACAAUGGGUCGGAUAAGCGAACGCCAGAACCGCGAGGUUGGAAC
rnacentral:rRNA from 1 species